UGUUUCUAGAAUUUAAUUUGAAAUAAUGUCUGCCCACUGAGGACUUAAAGGGCUGCGGUAUAUUGACCGUACAAAGGUAGCAUAAUAAAUAGUUUUUUAAUUGGAGGCUUGAAUGAAGGGUUUUAUGAGAAAUCAGCUGUCUUAAAAAUAGAAUUAGAAUUUAAGGUUUAGGUAAAAAUGCCUGGAUGGGUAAGUGGGACGAGAAGACCCUAUAGAAUUUUAUUUUAAUAAAUUGGUUGGUGGAUUAUAUGAAGAAUUGAUAGUUUGGAUGUAAAUAUUAAAAUUUAGUUGGGGUGAUUUCAAAAUAAUUAACUUUUGAUAUAUUUUAAUUAUAUAUUUAUAUAAAUUUGAUCCAUGAUGUGGUGAUUGUAAGAUAAAUUACCUUAGGGAUAACAGCGUAAUUUAUUCGGAUAGUUCAGAUUGAUGAAUUAGUUUGCGA
rnacentral:rRNA from 1 species